rnacentral:rRNA from 1 species
GAUGAACGCUAGCGGCAGGCCUAAUACAUGCAAGUCGAGGGUGAAGUUUUGUGCUUGCACGAAAUGGAAACCGGCGAACGGGUGCGUAACACGUAUGCAACCUACCUAUAACUAAGGGAUAGCCCAGAGAAAUUUGGAUUAAUACCUUAUAAUAUUCAUCAUUCGCAUGUUUGAUGAAUUAAAGCUCCGGCGGUUAUAGAUGGGCAUGCGGCCCAUUAGCUAGUUGGUGAGGUAAUGGCUCACCAAGGCAACGAUGGGUAGGGGGUCUGAGAGGAUGAUCCCCCACACUGGUACUGAGACACGGACCAGACUCCUACGGGAGGCAGCAGUAGGGAAUAUUGGUCAAUGGACGCAAGUCUGAACCAGCCAUGCCGCGUGCAGGAUGACUGCCCUAUGGGUUGUAAACUGCUUUUAUAUAGGAAGAAACCUUCAUACGUGUAUGAAGUUGACGGUACUAUACGAAUAAGGACCGGCUAACUCCG